UCAGCAGGGGCUGUUAACGCUCCUGGAGGCUGCUGGAGCUACACGAGCAAGAUUGGUGCAAGAGGAGCUGGAACUGGCAUGUUCUCGAAGAGAAGAGCACCCUGAAGAUCAGUACGUGACGGGGCUACCUCCUGGCACCGGCCGAGACAACCUCUGCUGUGUUACCUGCUCCUCGCAACUCCUAACAACCGUGAGAAACUCUCCAGGCAAAUGGACUCGUGCCUUGCUAUCCUGUGAACCAGUGCAAAAUUGCUUACUACCUGU